UUUUUUUGUUUUUUUAUUUUUGUAUUUUGUGUUUGUUUUGUGUUUUUGUGUGCAAGCCUCUCAGACCAUGGGCAAACGUGACAAAAAGGGUGAUGAAG
rnacentral:ribozyme from 1 species